rnacentral:rRNA from 1 species
UACGAAGGGGGCUAGCGUUGCUCGGAAUCACUGGGCGUAAAGCGCACGUAGGCGGGUUCUUAAGUCGGUGGUGAAAUCCUGGAGCUCAACUCCAGAACUGCCUCCGAUACUGAGAGCCUCGAGUCCGGGAGAGGUGAGUGGAACUGCGAGUGUAGAGGUGAAAUUCGUAGAUAUUCGCAAGAACACCAGUGGCGAAAGGCGGCUCACUGGCCCGGUACUGACGCUGAGGUGCGAAAGCGUGGGGAGCAAACAGG